GCCCGGAUAGUUUAACGGUUAGAACAUGGGUCUCAUAGGACUUUAUGAUCAAUCUCAAAAGAUUGGGUCAUCCCAAGAUCCAAGUUCGAUUCUUGGUCCAGGCA